AACGCACAUUGCGCCCCCUGGCAUUCCGGGGGGCACACCUGUUCGAGCGCCGUUUCAGCACUGAGGCCCAGCCUUGCGCUGCCGCAUCCCCCGGGGCACGGGGGAGCGGCGAAACCCAGCGGCGCCGUCCCGCGUCCGGCUAUGCGCAGAAAGCAGAGGACGGAGGCGAGCGACGGCGGCCGGUCGAACGAAACAUUUUGGCCUCGGAUCAGGUGGGGAUACCCGCUGAACUUAA
rnacentral:misc_RNA from 1 species